UACGUAGGGGGCGAGCGUUGUCCGGAGUUACUGGGCGUAAAGCGCACGCAGGCGGUCUGUGAAGUUUGGAGUGACAGUUGGUGGCUCAACCACCAAAGUGCUUUGAAAACUGAUAGACUUGAGGGCUUCAGAGGGACACGGAAUUCCGGGUGGAGUGGUGAAAUGCGUAGAGAUCCAGAGGAACACCAAAGGCGAAGGCAGUGUCCUGGGGAGUACCUGACGCUCAGGUGCGAAAGCCAGGGGAGCGAACGGG
rnacentral:rRNA from 1 species